UCCAACCAGUGUCAGGGCGUACCUACUACUACCUGCCAGGCAACCGACGGGAGAGGGAGAGAGAGAGAGAGAGAGAGGGAGAGAAUGGAUGCACUGAUUCAAGUCCCGUACAACGCUACCGUGCGCCUGAUGCUAGCAUCACUGGAGCGGAAUCUGCUGCCGGACCUGGUGGUAAGGAAGCUGACGAAGCUCCUAUUAGCAAGCCGCCUCCGUUCCGAGUACCAGCAUUCGUCCCACCUCCAGCUCUCCCGCCUCCUCCAUUUCGCCCACUCUCUUGAACAUAUGCCUAUUGCUGUGGAGACUGAUAAACCAAAAUCCCAACAUUAUGAAUUACCUACCUCCUUUUUCAAGUUAGUGCUAGGAAAGAAUCUCAAGUACAGCUGUUGCUACUUCGUAGAUAAGGCAAACACACUGGAGGAUGCUGAGAAAUUGAUGUUGGAUUUGUACUGUGAGAGGGCACAAAUAAAGGAUGGUCAAACUGUCCUUGAUGUUGGAUGCGGCUGGGGAUCCCUUUCUUUGUACAUUGCACAGAAGUAUAAUAACUGCAGUGUUACAGGGAUCUGCAAUUCCAUGACACAAAAAGAACAUAUAGAGGAGCGUUGUAGGGACCUUCAACUCUCAAAUGUGGAGAUCAUUGUUGCAGAUAUCAGUAAAUUUGAAAUGCAGGCCUCCUUUGAUCGAAUUUUAUCUAUAGAAAUGUUUGAGCACAUGAAGAAUUACAAGGAACUUCUUAGGAAGAUAUCCAAAUGGAUGAAAGAUGAUAGCCUACUUUUCAUUCACUACUUCUGUCACAAAGCAUUUGCUUACCACUUUGAGGACACAAAUGAAGAUGACUGGAUUACAAGAUACUUCUUCACUGGAGGGACGAUGCCUUCCGCAAACUUACUUCUAUAUUUUCAGGAUGAUGUUUCGAUUGUCAAUCAUUGGCUUGUAAAUGGGAUGCAUUAUGCACGCACAAGGAUUUUCUGUGGAUAUGUAUGAUUGCAUGUCAAAAGGAGGCAACAACGUAUCAGUUGCAUUAAAAGCGAUCGACAUAGGUGCGACUGGGUCUGAGUGGCUAAGCAACAAGUAGCCAAUGGCCAAGUUCACAUGAUUUCUGGAGAGGUGUUUGAAGAUCACAGAGAGCAAGAACGUGGGAAGUAUUAGGAAGCAGAGCGAGGGAAGAAACAGUUACAAUAACCGUCAAGACGUGGGAAGCAUCUAGAGCAAUGAAGCAAUGUUGUAAAUAGAAGAUCAAGAAGACCAAAAGACUCAUGAGGUACAAAAUCUGAAGGCUCGAAAGAAGAUGCGGUGGAUGACAAGUCAUGGGCAACUUUAUUAUCUGCAUUCUUCUGUCAUGAGUAAAGCUCGAGAUGGGUUAAAUUGCAGGAAUAGACCCGACUUGUGAAAAAAAGUGGCUAGAUAGAAUGAGCGUAAAGGGGGAGGCAUUGGCAUUGUAUGAGAGUACUAAAAAUCAUCUAUUGUAAGAGUGUUUCCUUCAUCUAAAAAGAAAGGUGUCGAUUUAAAGAACGUAGCAUCGACGCACAUGAUUUGUUUACGAAUAUUGGGAAUGUAACACUUAUAGCCUCUAUAUUUUGGAAUAUACAAGAGAUACUAUUUUAUUA